GGGAAGAAUUAGUAGGGGUUAAUACCCCCUAUGAUGACGGUACCUUUUGUAAGCUCCGGCUAACUCCGUGCCAGCAUCCGCGGUAAUACGGGGGGAGCAAGCGUUGUUCGGAUUUACUGGGCGUAAAGGGCGCGUAGGCGGUCAGCACAAGUCAGUUGUGAAAUCUCCGGGCUUAACUCGGAAAGGUCAACUGAUACUGUGCGACUAGAGUGCAUAAGCGGCAACUGGAAUUCUCGGUGUAGCGGUGAAAUGCGUAGAUAUCGAGAGGAACACCUGCGGCGAAGGCGGGUUGCUGGGCUGACACUGACGCUGAGGCGCGAAAGCNAGGGGAGCGAACGGGAUUAGAUACCCCGGUAGUCCUGGCCUUAAACGAUG
rnacentral:rRNA from 1 species